rnacentral:rRNA from 1 species
AACGAACGCUGGCGGCGCGUUUUAAGCAUGCAAGUCGGACGGCAAGGCGGGUAGCAAUACCUGCCCUAGAGUGGCGAACGGGUGAGUAACACGUAGGUGAUCUACCUCUGGAUGGGGGAUAGCCUGUGGAAACACAGGGUAAUACCGCAUGAGGCUUCAGGUGUAAAGGCUUGGAGUGAAAGGUGCAAUUGCAUCGUCUGGGGAUGAGCCUGCGGUCCAUUAGUUAGUUGGCGGGGUAAGAGCUCACCAAGACUCCGAUGGAUAGCCGGCCUGAGAGGGUGGACGGCCACACUGGAACUGAGACACGGUCCAGACUCCUACGGGAGGCAGCAGCUAAGAAUCUUCCGCAAUGGGGGAAACCCUGACGGAGCGACGCCGCGUGGAUGAUGAAGGCCGUAAGGUUGUAAAAUCCUUUUGUCGGUGAAGAAUAAGCGUGGGAGUGGAAAGCCCACGUGAUGACGUUAGCCGACGAAUAAGCCCCGGCUAAUUACGUGCCAGCA